AGAGUUUGAUCAUGGCUCAGAACGAACGCUGGCGGCAGGCCUCAAACAUGCAAGUCUAGGGGGCGUAGCAAUACGUCACCGGCGGACGGGUGCGUAACACG
rnacentral:rRNA from 1 species